rnacentral:rRNA from 1 species
GACGAACGCUGGCGGCGUGCCUAAUACAUGCAAGUCGAACGCGGUCCGUGGUGCUUGCACCACACUAUGACCGAGUGGCGAACGGGUGAGUAACACGUGAGAAACCUGCCCUGGAGAUCGGGAUAACCACCGGAAACGGUGGCUAAUACCGAAUACCCCUGACCAGUCGCAUGGCCGGUCAAGGAAAGGUUCCGGCGCUCUGGGAGGGUCUCGCGGCCUAUCAGCUAGUUGGUGGGGUAAUGGCCCACCAAGGCAUCGACGGGUAGCUGGUCUGAGAGGACGAUCAGCCACACUGGGACUGAGACACGGCCCAGACUCCUACGGGAGGCAGCAGUAGGGAAUCUUGCGCAAUGGGCGAAAGCCUGACGCAGCAACGCCGCGUGGGGGGAUGACAGCUCUAGGGUUGUAAACCCCUUUCAGCAGGGACGAAAAUGACGGUACCUGCAGAAGAAGCUCCGGCCAACUACGUG